GUGGCGAACGGGUGAGUAACACGUAGGUGAUCUACCCUGAGGUUGGGGAUAGCCUGUGGAAACACAGAGUAAUACCGAAUGAGUUCCGAACACUAUGGUGAUUGGAAGAAAGUUCCUACGGGAACGCCUUAGGAUGAGCCUGCGGCUGAUUAGCUAGUUGGUAGGGUAAGAGCCUACCAAGGCGACGAUCAGUAGCCGGCCUGAGAGGGUGACCGGCCACAUUGGGACUGAGAUACGGCCCAGACUCC
rnacentral:rRNA from 1 species